rnacentral:rRNA from 1 species
CUACGUGCCAGCAGCCGCGGUAAUACGUAGGUGGCGAGCGUUGUCCGGAAUCAUUGGGCGUAAAGGGAGCGCAGGCGGGCCGGUAAGUCUUACUUAAAAGUGCGGGGCUCAACCCCGUGAUGGGAGAGAAACUAUCGGUCUUGAGUACAGGAGAGGAAAGCGGAAUUCCCAGUGUAGCGGUGAAAUGCGUAGAUAUUAGGAAGAACACCAGUGGCGAAGGCGACUUUCUGGACGAAAACUGACGCUGAGGCGCGAAAGCCAGGGGAGCGAACGGGAUUAGAUACCCCGGUAGUCCUGGCCGUAAACGAUGGGUACUAGGUGUAGGAGGUAUCGACCCCUUCUGUGCCGGAGUUAACGCAAUAAGUACCCCGCCUGGGGAGUACGACCGCAAGGUUGAAACUCAAAGGAAUUGACGGGGGCCCGCACAAGCGGUGGAGUAUGUGGUUUAAUUCGACGCAACGCGAAGAACCUUACCAGGUCUUGACAU